UAUUAAAAUUUUUAUCCACUAUUAAAAGCUAGUAUGGCUGAUGGAAUAAUCAGAUAGCUACAUGUAACGUGCUACGUUUACCUUAUGUUAAUGUAUAAAGACCAAAUUUUAAUAGUAGAAAUUGAUGAAAUUUUUAACA
rfam:Gossypium raimondii Chr08_contig_1311, whole genome shotgun sequence.